UACGUAGGGACCAAGCGUUGUCCGGAAUCAUUGGGCGUAAAGAGCGUGUAGGCGGCUUGUUAAGUCUUGCGUGAAAUCUCGGGGCUCAACCCCGAGCGGUCGUGAGAAACUGGCAGGCUAGAGUGCGGGAGAGGAGAGUGGAAUUCCUGGUGUAGCGGUGAAAUGCGUAGAUAUCUGGAGGAACACCGGUGGCGAAGGCGGCAUCCUGGACCAAUUCUGACGCUGAGGAGCGAAAGCCAGGGGAGCAAACGGGG
rnacentral:rRNA from 1 species